UUGAACGCUGGCGGCAUGCUUUACACAUGCAAGUCGAACGGUAACAGGCCUUCGGGUGCUGACGAGUGGCGAACGGGUGAGUAAUGCAUCGGAACGUACCCAGAGGUGGGGGAUAACGCAGCGAAAGCUGUGCUAAUACCGCAUGUGAUCUGAGGAUGAAAGCGGGGGACCGCGCAGCAAUGUUUGGCCUCGCGCCUUUGGAGCGGCCGAUGUCGGAUUAGCUAGUUGGUGGGGUAAAGGCCUACCAAGGCGACGAUCCGUAGCUGGUCUGAGAGGACGACCAGCCACACUGGGACUGAGACACGGCCCAGACUCCUACGGGAGGCAGCAGUGGGGAAUUUUGGACAAUGGGCGCAAGCCUGAUCCAGCAAUGCCGCGUGCGGGAAGAAGGCCUUCGGGUUGUAAACCGCUUUUGGCAGGAACGAAACGGUGUCCGCUAAUACCGGGCGCUAAUGACGGUACCUGCAGAAUAAGCACCGGCUAACUACGUG
rnacentral:rRNA from 1 species